rnacentral:rRNA from 1 species
ACUCAAAUGAAUUGACGGGGGCCCGCACAAGCGGCGGAGCAUGUGGCUUAAUUCGACGCAACGCGAAGAACCUUACCUGGGUUUGACAUGCGGGGCAAAGCUGGUGAAAACCAGCGCUCUACGGAGCCCGCACAGGUGGUGCAUGGCUGUCGUCAGCUCGUGCCGUGAGGUGUUGCCUUAAGUGGCGCAACGAGCGCAACCCCUAUCCUCAGUUGCCAGCGGGUCAUGCCGGGAACUCUGGGGAGACUGCCGGUGCCAAACCGGAGGAAGGUGGGGAUGAGGUCAAGUCAUCAUGCCCCUUAUAUCCAGGGCUGCACACAUGCUACAAUGCGUGGUACAAAGGGCUGCGAUCCCGUAAGGGGGAGCGAAUCCCAAAAAGCCACGCUCAGUUCGGAUCGGGGUCUGCAACUCGACCCCGUGAAGUCGGAGUCGCUAGUAAUCGCAGAUCAGCAAUGCUGCGGUGAAUACGUUCCCGGGCCUUGUACACACCGCCCGU